rnacentral:rRNA from 1 species
GACGAACGCUGGCGGCGUGCCUAAUACAUGCAAGUCGAGCGGACUGAAUGGGAGCUUGCUCUUGUUCGGUCAGCGGCGGACGGGUGAGUAACACGUGGGCAACCUGCCCGCAAGACCGGGAUAACUCCGGGAAACCGGAGCUAAUACCGGAUAACACCGAAGACCGCAUGGUCUUUGGUUGAAAGGCGGCGCAAGCUGCCACUUGCGGAUGGGCCCGCGGCGCAUUAGCUAGUUGGUGAGGUAACGGCUCACCAAGGCGACGAUGCGUAGCCGGCCUGAGGGGGUGACCAGCCACACUGGGACUGAGACACGGCCCAGACUCCUACGGGAGGCAGCAGUAGGGAAUCUUCCGCAAUGGGCGAAAGCCUGACGGAGCGACGCCGCGUGAGCGAAGAAGGCCUUCGGGUCGUAAAGCUCUGUUGUGAGGGACGAAGGAGCGCCGUUUGAAGAAGGCGGCGCGGUGACGGUACCUCACGAGGAAGCCCCGGCUAACUACGUG